UCGAACGAGAAAGCCCUUCGGGGUGAGUACAGUGGCGAACGGGUGAGUAACACGUGGGCAAUCUGCCCCUCGCAGGGGGACAACCGGGGGAAACCCCGGCUAAUACCCCGUAUGCUUGUUGAGUCGCAUGGCUCUUCAAGGAAAGGUAGCUUCGGCCAUCCGGCGAGGGAUGAGCCCGCGGUGCAUUAGCUAGUUGGUGAGGUAACGGCUCACCAAGGCGACGAUGCAUAGCUGGUCUGAGAGGAUGAUCAGCCACACUGGGACUGAGACACGGCCCAGACUCCUACGGGAGGCAGCAGUCGGGAAUCUUGCGCAAUGGGCGAAAGCCUGACGCAGCAACACCGUGUGAGCGACGAAGGCCUUCGGGUCGUAAAGCUCUGUUGUUGGGGACGAAGGGUUAGGGGUUAAUAGCCCCGAGCCUGACGGUACCCUUCGAGGAAGCCCCGGCUAACUACGUGCCAGCAGCCGCGGUAAUACGUAGGGGGCGAGCGUUG
rnacentral:rRNA from 1 species